rnacentral:rRNA from 1 species
AGCGAACGCUGGCGGCAGGCUUAACACAUGCAAGUCGAGCGGGCACUUUCGGGUGUCAGCGGCGGACGGGUGAGUAACGCGUGGGAACGUGCCCUCUGGUUCGGAAUAACUCAGGGAAACUUGAGCUAAUACCGGAUACGCCCUUUUGGGGAAAGGCUUGCUGCCGGAGGAUCGGCCCACGUCUGAUUAGCUAGUUGGUGAGGUAACGGCUCACCAAGGCGACGAUCAGUAGCUGGUCUGAGAGGAUGAUCAGCCACACUGGGACUGAGACACGGCCCAGACUCCUACGGGAGGCAGCAGUGGGGAAUAUUGGACAAUGGGCGCAAGCCUGAUCCAGCCAUGCCGCGUGAGUGAUGAAGGCCUUAGGGUUGUAAAGCUCUUUUAUCCGGGACGAUAAUGACGGUACCGGAGGAAUAAGCCCCGGCUAACUUCGUG